rnacentral:misc_RNA from 1 species
GAUGAAGAACGUAGCGAAAUGCGAUACUUGGUGUGAAUUGCAGAAUCCCGUGAACCAUCGAGUCUUUGAACGCAAGUUGCGCCCGAAGCCACUAGGCCGAGGGCACGCCUGCCUGGGCGUCACACGUCGUUGCCCCCCCCCCAUCUACUCCUUCGGGAUUGCGGGGGGCGGGUGAUGGCCUCCCGUGCGCCUGGCCGCGCGGUUGGCAUAAAUACCAAGUCCUCGGCGACGCACGCCACGACAAUCGGUGGUUGCGAAACCUCGGUUGCCCGUCGUGUGCGUUCGUCGCGCAUCGAGGGCUCGAAAAAAUGCUCGGCUCCGGCUCGGCUUUCAACGCGACCCCAGGUCAGGCGGGGUUACCCGCUGAAUUUAAGCAUAUCAAUAAGCGGAGGA